ensembl:miRNA
GUGUGUGUGUGUGUGUGUGUGUGUGUGUGUGUGUAGCCCAAGGCUGUGCAGCACACUCACCCACCGCCGCCCA